CCUCAAUCAGCUGUCUGAAUGACCCCUAGAGGCACCAGAACAUCACAUUCAUCAGUAAUAAGGUCCUCAAUCAGCUGUCUGAAUGACCCCUAGAGGCACCAGAACAUCACAUUCAUCAGUAAUAAGGUCCUCAAUCAGCUGUCUGAAUGACCCCUAGAGGCACCAGAACAUCACAUUCAUCAGUAAUAAGGUCCUCAAUCAGCUGUCUGAAUGACCCCUAGAGGCACCAGAACAUCACAUUCAUCAGUAAUAAGGUCCUCAAUCAGCUGUCUGAAUGACCCCUAGAGGCACCAGAACAUCACAUUCAUCAGUAAUAAGGUCCUCAAUCAGCUGUCUGAAUGACCCCUAGAGGCACCAGAACAUCACAUUCAUCAGUAAUAAGGUCCUCAAUCAGCUGUCUGAAUGACCCCUAGAGGCACCAGAACAUCACAUUCAUCAGUAAUAAGGUCCUCAAUCAGCUGUCU